rnacentral:rRNA from 1 species
UACGGGGGGGGUAAGCGUUGUUCGGAAUUACUGGGCGUAAAGGGCUCGUAGGUGGCCAACUAAGUCAUGCGUGAAAUCCCUCGGCUUAACCGGGGAACUGCGUCUGAUACUGGAUGGCUUGAGUUUGGGAGAGGGAUGCGGAAUUCCAGGUGUAGCGGUGAAAUGCGUAGAUAUCUGGAGGAAUACCGGUGGCGAAGGCGGCAUCCUGGACCAUUACUGACACUGAUCCGCGAAAGCUAGGGGAGCAAACGGG